rnacentral:misc_RNA from 1 species
AGGACCUUAGUAUAGUAUAAGUGUCUCUGAGAUUUCGAGCAUAGGUUGAGGGGGCACUUGUACAUUUUCUCUAUUUUAUUUAAUGUUGGAAAGUUUCGCACCAUGGUUAUAUGGGGUUAGUUUUUGUGGGUAUGUUGAUAUUCGGAUGUUGCGUAUGUCCAUUGUUUAGUUUCAUCGAGUUAGUUGCGCUAUUGAGUUGAAGAUUCGUGGGUCAUGACUCAAUGUUAUGGCCUUUAAGUUGUUCGAGUUUGAGUUUUUAUAGUGUUAUUUCCGUUUUAGGCAAUAUUAUUUCGUUUUUAUGAAAUGGGGCAGAAUCUGAGGGGAAAUUUUUGCCGAAAGUUGUUUGUCAGUUGUAAAAUGCAAUAUUGAUUUUCUUUGUCUAGCUUGUGUGUUCGCUCAGUUUUAAUAUGGGAGGUCUCCUUUUGUUUUAGUUCAAAUCUUGUAAUGCAGUAGCUUACUGUCUUGUUUAUAUUCUCUGUUUUGACUUGAAUAUUUUUGGAUAGAGUCUGGUUCUGUUUAAGCAUAAGCUCCCAACUCAUUUUCUUCACUAUGCAAGAUUUACUAUCGAUUGUCAGUCCUUAUCCCCUUAUCUUCUUUAAUGAAAGAAGUUGUAUCUUUAGUGAUUUGAGUUAAUUUUUAUUUUGUUUCGAGUUGUGUGUUCAUCUGUUUUACCUCUUUGCCUAACAUGUUUUCAAGUGUCGAUUUUUCUGCAUUUAUGUUUGUUAUUUUGAUGUUGCUUUAAGCUGUUCACAUCAUAUUCUCACUGACUUGACCGUCGCAAAUUCCAAGUUGGUAACUUAGGAUGUGCGGCUUCGCUUGUGAUAAAAUAUGUGAAUCUUUUAAGAGUUCGGCUAACUUUUUAAUAUCCCAUUCUAACUCUUAUUUCUAAAACUAAAAUUGUCCUUUGCAAUCAAUUUAAUCACAUUACUUUACCUAAUAUAACAUAGUCAUUUCAAACGUGGAUUUUGUUACCGAAAUCAUCCUUGUCCAACAAUAUUGGUGUUUAGGGUGAAUUUUAAGUUGUUUCCAUGUUUAAGUUUAAGUUAUGGUUACCUGCUUUCCCUUGUUAAAUUUGUUUGAAAGCUUAUCCUCGUUGAAUGUGUUAAUUUAUAUUUUGAAGUCCUCCAGUCACGGUAGUACGCAAUAUUAUUUUAUGAAUCAAAGACGGCAUGAGUGUUCCUUUCAAAUUACUCAAGCUGUUGACUUUAGACUAGCCUGCCAAGUUUUAAUUUUCUCUUUUUGUUUUUUGUUGUUUUGCUGAGUUCGUGGUCUGUUCCUAUAAUUUUACAUAUAAAAGAAAAUUUUAGUUCAAAAUGCUUAGGUUGAUCAUAUCUUAAUGUGUCAAAGGCAUGUCCAGUUGGUGUCUGAAUUUAGGUGAGUUCAGUUAUUGUCAUUUAUCUGUAUGAAAGUGCACUUAGUCGAGCAUUGUUGUACGGUGAAGUUAUUUUCCCUCUGCUUCAUCUCAUAGCAUUAAAUUCAACUAAGCACUUGUUUAACACAUUUUAUUUUAGUACAUGCCGAUUACAUGGAAACUCUAGAUAUUUACCUAAUUUGUGUUUUGAGGAUAUAUAAUUUUGAAUGCUAAUUCUCAUCAUUUUAUUGCAUGUGCUGCUAUUCAAGCCACCUUCGGGUAUUGUUUCUUCCCUCGUACACUCUGGGUGGGCCAUAAAGGCCCAAAUGCAACUCAUUUUACUUGAGUUCAGUUCACAAAGCCAGCGUACAGGUUUCAAAGUUCAAGAAUUCGAAGCAAAUUGACCGGAGUUGAAAAGAUUGGGUCUAAGCCCAAAUUUGUUUUCGAAAUUUUGUAUUUUGUUAUCUUUGGGCCUAAUCCCUUUUGUAUCAUUUUUACGUUGAAUAGUUUAGAAUAGGUACAAGUUGAGUGGGCCUAAGGCCCAAAAACAAAGGGUCCAAAUACUGGUCCAUGCAGACAGAAAUCGUA